UCUCUCGGGAGCUUUCCCCGGGC
rnacentral:siRNA from 1 species